rnacentral:misc_RNA from 1 species
ACCUUUCUUCGAGGUCCUCCAUUUGCGGACUACCACGAACGCGCACGCGCACCCGUACACCAAAAAAACUUCAAAGAAAAGCGGAAGCCAACCACCAGCAACUGUGGAACAACCAAGCCUCAACGCACGAUGUUCUCGAGAUCGAUGCGGGCUUUGGUGAGCAAGCGGCCACCAUUUGCUAGCUUCUACAAGGCCGUUUACUCGCCCCUCAGAAACACGGAGCAGGCGCGAAAAAUGCAGACGGCUGCCGUCCUGUGGCACAGGACGGCACCGCAGUAUGGCAUCCGCUUCUCUGCACCCCGUGUUGCCGCGGCACUGCGAAUUUACCGCAGGAAAGGCAAGGAAAUCACCAAAGAACUGCAGAAGACUGCAAAGCCUGCGCGUAAGUGGAAGGCAGCACCGUCAAGGUCAAAGCUGGCGCGCGCCACGGCUCCGAAGCGCAAGGCGAUUCACUUGAAGCAGCGCCAGCAGAAAGGCAAGAAAGCCAUAACGCCCUUCGCCGCUUUCCAGACGGAGGUGAUGCGGCGCACCAAGUUCCCCUCCACAAGGGCGAACCUCAAGCGAGUGCUUCGCAUGUGGGUGAUGACAGGUCGGCAGCGCUCACUUUCUGUGCCGAAGCGUGUCGAGAUGGCUGUGCGGUUGCUGCAGAAGGACCGGAAACGCGGGAAGGGGUUUUCCAGGAAGAUGAGCAACAAGAUCACCAGGCGCCGCUCUAAGCGCGGCACCCGCAAGAUUGCAAAGAGCUCGGCAGCUGGAAGCAGCCGCAAGACAGCAAAGUCGAGGAAGCCGCGUGUCACAGCGACAGGGGCGAAAAGGGCACGGGCGGCUCGACCCUCCCGAAGCGCCGUGGCGCAAAGGCUGAAAAGGGCGCGGAGGAUGCGCGCCGUGCGUCAGGUGCCCAAGCGACCAGCUUCUGUGAAGGUGCGUCUUGCGCGCCACCUCGCUGCCAAACGGUCGGCACCGAAGCCGGUGGCUGCAAGCAAGCCGAAGGCGCGCACGAUGCACGCGGCUCGCAAGGCCACCGCCUCGAAGCGGCGGACUCGAAAGACGAGCAUCGCAGCCGUGGCAAAGCCAAGGCCGCGGCACACUCCCACUAAGAGGAGGGCUAGCGCAGCCCGUCGCCGCGCGAACCCCUACAUCAAGUUUUACCGUCACAUGCGCAUGACCGGGCUCAUUCCAAACCAUCCCAAGAUCCUGGGCACUCGCCAGAUCAAGGCGUUGUGGACAGAGACGCACUCCCUCAACGGCCUGAAUCGCCGCAUCGCGCGCGCGACGGAACUUCUCGAGGAGCGGACGGGGUUGAAGUCGAAGGUUAAUCCGCCUGCCGUGAGGACGUCGGCGCGCAAGCGCCAGAACCCCAAGCACGGUUCGCCGGGCCCCUCGCCAGCGCCGGCGGCACCCAAGACCUCGGAAUCCUUGACGAUCAAGCAGAGGGACAUCAAGGUGCCUCCGUAUUAUAGCAGCAACCCCUUUGGAGCCACCUACGCAGCGUUGCUUCCCCUGCUGCGUGACAUUCCGAGCUCGACGCGGAUGGCUCAUGUCGCCAAGGCCUGGACGCGCACCUCCGUGAAGGAUGACAAGCGCAGCGCAAAGGCCCGUAUUGCUGCCGUGGCAGAGGCGAUGAAGAAGUGAGGCAACUUUGUGUCGUGUGGUGGGGGGCAUGUUCGCGCACCCCUCAUAACGUCCUCUUUCUUUGAAGUCUAUGUCUUGCUGUGGCGCUUUUUUAUGUCUUCUUGCUCGAACCUCUUGUUUUACUCCUCUUUCAGCCAGGUGACGGUGCCUGUCCCCCGGUGUCUCGGUGCUGCAUGAUAGGUAUCGCGCUCAUGGCGAACUAUGCAUUUUGCGCCACCUGUCUAACCCCCUCACCCUUCCCUCGCUGCACUUCUCGUGUUCCAUGUCCAGUAGAAGGAAGGGGGUGGUGGUGCUGCGCGUCUGUCCUCAGUGGACGAUGUCGUGCGUGUUAUAGCGGGGCUCUUCUGGGUGCGUCUGGUUGGGUGGCCGGACGUCCACGCUCCCCCUCCUCUCUCCUUUCAAGGUUCGCUGACGCAUAGAGGGCCGCAUGCUUUUUUCUUUUGCUUCGUCUGGCUGUUCGUGGAGUGAUAAAAAAAAAAUCACGGACGUGCUUGCGGGAGAGAGAGCUCUGCGAGGAACACGCUCGGGUGAGUACGGUGUCUGCUCGUUUCCUUGGUGGUGGUGCUGGACAAUGUCGAUGAGGGGAGGCGAUUUCUCUGUACCUCUCUCUGUCUGUCUGUCUUCUCCGUCCUCUCUUGUCGAUUGUAUUAUUGGGCCUUUUAUGUGUCUUUGUGAGGUAGUCUCUCUCUUUUUCCCCCGAAGUCGACAUGUUUUUUUUUUUUUUUCCGUGCUUGCUAUAGAUAGAUCGCACCAGGUGAGCGCGGGCGCACGGCCCUCUUACGUGCUCUUCUCCGUCGACCCUCUUACCGUUGCUUUGCGCCACACCCCGAAGGGCCAAGAGCGGGCCGAAUUUUUUUUUUUCCCUGCUGGGCUCUCCCUGAAGGGGAGUUGGCGGGCUUUGCCCGAGCACGGACGGCACAUUGCGCAUCCUGCGGCCACGCCGUUCUUCUUUGAAUCUUUGCUCGCAUGCACUGGUGAGGCCGACGAAAGACACCCUCGCGUCUUCGCUACUCCCCUGAAGGCCCCCCCCCUCCCUCGUAGGGAACACGCGCACUGCCAGGGUCGCUCCUGUGACGCUUCCACGUGCAAGAUACUCCCACACAGCAGCACACGGCUUCUAAUGGCAAGUGCUUUGUCUCCGUGAGAGCGUGCGCCUGUUUUUCUCUGUGUCUCGAAUAAAGGGGCACAUAUCGCCCUGUGGGAUUAUGUGGCUUCAUAGAUUACUGGCCUGCGCCGCGUCCAAGUGCGAGACGUGCUUACAUGCGCACGUGCACGUACACGCGUAGAGACUGACAAAGCAAGUGGGAUGCACAGAAGUCGUGCGCGGGGUAGGCGUGGGGCGAUGAGGUGACAUCAGUGACUCGGCAUCGUGCGCAAGUCGUUCCGCUGCCUAUUCGUGUGAGUUUCUUGCCUCUCAUCCCCUCUUCCCCUCGCUCGUCCAACACACAAGGGGACAUGCGCGCGCAUUGCCGAAAGCGGGCCGCGCGUACCUAUCUCGAAUAGAUCUGUGUGUGCACGCGCACAAAUUCAGUGCCCCUCGUCUUCGUUUUUCUUUUUUUUUCCCUUUUCUACUUGUGCUUCCCACUCGAGCUAACACACACACACACACACACGCACGCACACACACAGACAAGAAAACGAAAAAGCGCUGUCCACAGGUACCCCGCCGCUCUUCCCCCCUCCAAGACCGAUUCUUCUCAGCCGCAGGGAGUGCUGAGGCGACAUGCGGCGGGGCUUGCGUGUACUCGCAAGCGUCUGUGUGAGGGCCGUUUUUUCUUCCUUUUGUCUGCGUGGGUACUCUUUUCUUUGUGUUCUCACCGUUCUCCUCAUGUCUCUAAAGUACGUCGUCGUGUUUCGUAGUAGUGUUCAUGAGUGGCGGGAAGCCCUCGCUCGCACCCACAUUUUACGUUUUCCCUCCCCCCUCCACACUCCAGAGUGUCUCUCUCUCUCUGUUGUGGCUUUUACCCUUGAGCGUCGUUGUGGUCAGGGACAUCACGAGGCUCUUCUUGCAGUCUACUCGUUUUUUUUUUGCUUGUGUGCUCGCGCGCGAGUGAGAAGGAUAAUGAAUGGGCUGCGAGUUGGCUUGCAGCAGAGCCGACACAGUAGUGGCGCGCACCGCAG